UACGUAGGGUGCGAGCGUUGUCCGGAAUUACUGGGCGUAAAGAGCUCGUAGGUGGUUUGUCGCGUUGUCCGUGAAAACUCACAACUCAAUUGUGGGCGUGCGGGCGAUACGGGCAGACUGGAGUACUGCAGGGGAGACUGGAAUUCCUGGUGUAGCGGUGGAAUGCGUAGAUAUCCGGAGGAACACCGGUGGCGAAGGCGGCUUCCUGGACCGAUUACUGACGCUGAGGUGCGAGAGCGUGGGGAGCGAACCGG
rnacentral:rRNA from 1 species